rnacentral:rRNA from 1 species
GAUGAACGCUGGCGGCGUGUCUAAUACAUGCAAGUCGAGCGAAGUGUGGACGGGUGAGUAACACGUGGACAACCUCCUAUAAGACUGGGAUCACUUUGGGAAACCGGUGCUAAACUGGAUACUUCUAGAUGGAUCCGCGCUGCAUUAGCUAGUUGGUAAGGUAACGGCUUACCAAGGCAACGAUGCAUAGCCGACCUGAGAGGGUGUUCGGCCACGCUGGAACUGAGACACGGUCCAGACUCCUACGGGAGGGUGCAGUGGGGAAACUUCCGCAAUGGGCGAGAGCGUGGAGGGGCGACGCCGCGUGAGUGGUGAAGGGCUUCGAAUCGUAGCACUCUGUUAUUAGGAAAGCGGUACCUACUCAGAGAGCCGCGGCUGACUACGUGCCAGCAGCCGCGGUAAUUC